CCCCUCACCAAGUUCCUGGGAAGAAGAGCACAAUGAAAACUGAACGCUCCCUCAUCUUCCUGACAGAGCAAGUGGAACAUUUCUGCAAAAAUUGUAUCAUCUCCCUGAGUGAUUCCUUUGAGGAGCAAAGUGGCGUGUACGUGUCCCCUCUGUUCUCACAAGCAUUUGCUGAAUUGCGGGAUACGAUUUCUGGAACGCUUAGAAAUCAUCAGGUGCCUAAACUUGGUCAGCACCUCUCUGAGAUGAAAGGCAGCUAAACUGUGAUAAACCCUCUCCUACUUGCCUCAAUGUUACAUCCACAUCCCUUGAAAAACGUCCCUGAAGACUGAAGAGAAGUGACUUGCCCAGGGGAGGCCGAGCGGCCCGGAGCCUGCCCUCAGACAGCACUCCAAGCCAAGGUCCCACCCCCCCUGGGGCCGCUGGGUAAAUGCUCCUCUGUCCCUAGCCCAAAUUCAAAGAGACAGGUUUCUCCUGGAGAACAGAGCCCUGAGUUCUCCACCUUUGCCAGGUCUGUGCCCUUUUCCCACUGUGCCCAAGAAGUGUCCUGGCAGGCCUUUCUGAGUAUAGAGGAAGGAGUUCCUAGGGCCGGGCCGACAAGUCAGGCCGACCUGGGGCUGCGUCCUCCCAUCACUUAUGAGCUGGGCCACCCAGGCCCAGGUCUCUUGGCCUCGGUUUCAUUAUCCAUUAGACAGGCCUAAUAAUUGAAGCCUUGUCACGGGGUUCUGUGAGGAUUGAGAUGGUGCACAUGAUGUAUUUAACCCUGACCCUGGCACGUAGGAAAUACACAAACAAUAGAAAGCUACUGCGUCUGUUUUGUGGCCCCACGUAAAGUGAGAAAGGUCAGUCACAAGGCCCCUGAGCCAGUCAGCCCUGCCCUGCACGCCCAGUUGGACUCCUGAGGGGGAGGCCCUCAUCCCUCUGGGCUGGGGGAGGAAAGGAGUGGGGGGGGGGUGAGAGGCUCUUUCCCUCCCCUCACGCUUCUGGCCACAAUUCCUCUCUUGGUUCCGUCUUAUCAAAAUAGUUGGUGUCUCGAUGAUCUCUGCCCACAGGAAAUCUCUGACUAAACUUGUUCUCAGUUCUGGCUCCUCAACUGCUCACUCCAGUUCCUGAAUUCGGUUUAACGACCACACCACAUAGCGGACCCUGGGAGCUCCAGGCAUCACAAUUGUAUCUUGUGCCUUCCUCGGCAUGCCGAGCCCUGCCCUGCUAGACACUGGUGACUGCAGAAAUGACCAAGGCCCACUCCAAGGGAAACAGGAAAACCAGGCUCUGUCUGUGUCCUUGGAGCGAUACCACACAGGCUCUACGGGCCCCUGUUGAUGCUUCUAGAGCUCCAUCCACAUAGGAAGUGCUCAAUAAAUGCUAACUAUUUCUCAAUUUCAGUUAAUUACAUCUUUCAGUUCUAAGAUUUCCAUUUGCUUCCUUUUUUUUGUAUAGUUUCUACUUCUCUGCCAAAAGUUUCCAUCUUGUCUUUUAAAUCCUUGAACACAGUAUUCAUGGUUCUUGUAAAGGCUGCACCUGAUAACUUCAUUAUUUGAAUCCCUGCUGUGUCUCCUUCUGCCGUCCGUUUUUUCUCUGGUGCACAGGUUGUCUUACAUAUGCCUGACUACUUUUUACUGACUGCUGGGCACUGUAGCAUAUCAAAAACUGCAGAGAUCAUUUGAGCCUCCGGACAAGUCAUCUAGAGGUGUAUAUAUCUAGAGAUGAUUCACUUUUGCUUCUUCUGGGCAGUGAGGCUGUAGGCACUGAAGCCCCACAUGACCUUAACCCCAAGAGGCUUGACACGAUCGGAGCAGAGCUUUAAUAACCAUGCAGACUGUUCCAUUUCUGUUCACUCCCAAUCCUCUCGGGUCCCAGCCCAGACCGGGGGGGUUUAUUGAGGCCCCUCCUCCUCAGUGAGAGCUAAAGUACACAUUUUAUCCUCUCCCUGCCCCCACACCCCCGGCCCUGUAAGUCUGUCCAAAACUCAGCUGGGGCUUCUAAAACCAGCCAGUGCUUCCCAGGGCAAAGGGGCCCAGUGCUGACCUCCACCUGUCUGGGCUUUUGUAGUUCUUCAAAGCCUUGGUCAUUCUUUGACACCUUCUGAUUAUCUAGAAAUACAUUUUGCUAGCUUUGCCAGUUAUCACAGCAGGAAGGUUGAUCCUAAGCCAGGCAUGGACACUGAUGUCUAUAUUUUAAGUCUUAUUACUCAGGAUGGUGGAGUUGGAACAGCAUUUGGGGGGGGGGGGUACGGGCAGAAGUGACUGAAAAGUUGGGCAGGAAUCAGAGGAUGAAGGGCCUUUAAUGUAACACCAAGGGGCAGGGAAUUUAUCUUAGAGAAAAUGGAAUCAGAGGGUGAGACAGUCAGAUUUGUCUUAUUAAGAUAAUCGUGGGGCCAGUGGACAGAUGGAUUAGAGUCGGUGUGAGGUUUGGGGUCACUGAGCCUGAAGGCAGAGGGGUGAUGUGCUGGUAAGUGUUGACAGCUGCCUCACCAAAAGGGUUCUCAUUAGUAGCAUUUGCCUGUUUCUCUGGUGUAAAUACUCCCACCGUGGAUGAUCUCGAGCCACUAGCAUGACAGUGCUGAAUGCAAAGCUGACAAGAGACACACACAAGCACGUCUCGCUGAUGCCAGCAUCCUGCAGGGGAGGCCGAUUUGGCAGCUCGCCUAUCUUUCUUGAGAGAAAGCGUCCUAUUUCUUUUCUUUUUCUUCUCCUUCUUCUUGUUUUUUGUUUUUGUUUUUUUUGUUUUUUUUUUGUUUUUGU